rnacentral:rRNA from 1 species
CCCUUAGAUGUUCUGGGCUGCACGCGCGCUACACUGACACACGCAACGAGUCUCCUGCCCUGACAGGGUCGGGUAAUCAUUUGGGUGUGUGUCGUGAUGGGGAUAGAGUAUUGCAAUUAUUGCUCUUGAACGAGGAAUUCCUAGUAAGCACAAGUCAGCAGCUUGUGCUGAUUACGUCCCUGCCCUUUGUACACACCGCCCGUCGCUCCUACCGAGGGGGUGAUCCGGUGAAUGAUUCGGACUCUGGUGCUUCUAGCUGCUAGAUGCGCCGGAGGAAGUUUUGUGAACCUUAUCACUUGGAGGAAGGAGAAGUCGUAACA